rnacentral:rRNA from 1 species
CGGAGAAUUAGGGUUCGAUUCCGGAGAGGGAGCCUGAGAAACGGCUACCACAUCUACGGAAGGCAGCAGGCGCGUAAAUUACCCAAUCCUGAUUCAGGGAGGUAGUGACAAGAAAUAACAACUCGGGGCCUCACGGCUUACGAGAUUGCAAUGAGAACAAUUUAAAUCUCUUAGCGAGGAACAAUUGGAGGGCAAGUCUGGUGCCAGCAGCCGCGGUAAUUCCAGCUCCAAUAGCGUAUAUUAAAGUUGUUGCAGUUAAAAAGCUCGUAGUUGAAUUUCUGAUUAUGGAUGUAGCGGUUUCCGUUACAUUUGUAGUCAUCCACAUGAGAACCUUUCUCGGCCUUCACUGGUCGUUGGGGAUCAUGUACUUUACUUUGAAAAAUCAGAGUGUUUCAGGCAGGCGUUUGCAUGAAUACACAAGCAUGGAAUAAUGGAAUAGGACUAGGGUCCAUUUUAUUGGUUAUUGGACCAUAGUAAUGAUUAAUAGGG